AAUUAUGGGGUCUACACCUAGUAAUAUAGAAACUAUAACAUUAAAAGUAGUGUACUGACUUUUAAGAGCAGAUUGUAAUGUUUUGGUUACCAAUUGGGGCAUAAUUAUCAAAGGUUGAAAAUACAGCUUGUCACAGUUCACCAAAGGCAAAUGUUACAACUCUCUAUUCACUGGAAAGGGAUUUACAGGUGUAUAUUUAUAGAUACUUUCUCUCCUACAAAGGUGAAUAGGGGGCUGUGAAAUAUCCAUCUGGUGAACUGUCACACUCUCUUUAUUUAUUUUAAACCAUUGUUAAAUAAGCCCCAAAGUAUAUCCUUCAUAUCUUUGGGACUGAUUUUCUACCCCAGGUACGUAACAGAGCAAGAAAUGUUAGAUUAAAUAUUGAAGCCAACAAUGAGAGAGUGCUAAAAUAUGAUAGAAAAAGCAUGACUAUGCUAAAAUGGAGCCAGAUGACUUUUGUAAGUAGACUGAUAAAACAGAAAUAACCACUCCCAUUCUACAUCUACUACAAGACCGUUAAUGCUAAGUCAGAGCAACAUUAUCUGCACAAACACAAAUUGGAGGGAUGUUAAAUGCUGUAGAUUGCAGUGAGUCACAUAUACUGUAGGUGUCAAUCCCCAGUGCAGGUGUUAUGCAUGUGCUCCAAGAAGUAGUCGACUCGAGUUUACUUCGAGUUUAGUUCUGAAGACAAUGAGGGAGGAUUCUCUUCUGAAAAAUUCAGGAAUAGCAUCCCAAAUAUAAGAAGCAGCAAGACAGAAGGGUUUGAUGCAGGAAACAAUAGUAGUCGGGGGUGCAACCAAGCGGUGGAGCGGAGGAUUCGGCCAGGAGCAUAUACAGAGACAACAGAUGAGAUGUAGUUAGGUGCAGAAGAGUAAAGGGAUUUGAAGGUUAUGAUGAGGAGUUCGAGUCUGUUGAAUCGAUGAAGGACUCGCUUCAAGCAGGUGUUCCUAUUCCAGAGCCUGAAACAUUAAGGGGCAGAUUAAUCAAGGGUCAAAUUUCGAAGUGGAAAAUACUUCAAAAUUCAACCAUCGAAUAGAAUCCUCCGGCAUUCGAAGUCGGAGGAUUUUAUUCAUCGUACGGUCGUAUACCUGAUCGUAGAACGAUCGUUCUUCGACUCCUACUAUUCGAACAAUUUCGAACAAUUUUCUGCAUACAUUAUCAUGGGAAGGCCCAUGUAUCAACAUUCUGAUUUUACAGGCUUUAGAAACCAUGAAAAAAAUAAAGAUUUUACAAUUGUAAAAGGACAAAUCCCCACGGACUUUUACAUGACCUUAAUAACUUUUAGAUAAUUAAGGUUCAUACUCGGGCCCAGACUGGCCAUGUGUCCAAUAAAGCACAUGUCUGGUGGGCCACUUUAUUUUUUUAAGUAAGCUGGGGAAGCCGGGAGCUGCCAGAAAGAGCCAAAGUGAAGCCGCCAAAUGAGAGCCGAAGCUGAAGCCGAUGAAUGGGAGCCAAAAUCGCUGAUUGGAAGCUAAAGCCAACAAAAGGAGCUGAAAGGGAAGCCUCACAGGAGAAUGAAGAGGCCAAGGAGGAAGAAGGCCACUUGCCAAAUUGUAAAGGCCACAGACAAACUUAUAACUUUGCACCCGUAUGUACUGGCAUCAUACGUAUGCACAGGACACAGCCAACAGUAUUAGCCAAUGACCACAACCAGUACACCCACAAAGAAGAUUCACAGGUGUAGUAUUCAUGUUAUUUUAUCCCUGAAUGGGAAAAACAUUUCCUUCCAUUACUGAUUUGCACUGUGUCCAAUUUAAACAAGUGUAAGUAUUGGGGUACUUGAAAUCAUUUGGUUAGCCUAACACUAGGCAAUAAUACAGGAUAAAGGAAUAUGACCACUUUACAAAUCAAGACACAUAUCUCCUAGCAUCAAUCUACUAUUUAAUUCUACUAAGGAUAAUAUUAAGUUACCUGUUUCUAGGCACUUCUUUGAUGAGGACAUAUUGAAAAUCACUAUAGGUUUAUGGCUUUUAUGUAUUUUCAUGACCAGAGGGGGUGAUAGGGAGUUGCUUCUUAGAAGACAUGAGGUAUGGUGGCCUGUUUGGCUUCCCAUGUCUCUAACAAGAUUAUAGGCAUAAUUUAGGUCCUAAGGGUGCAAAAGCACAAAUAGGAGCAAGAGUGUGUCCCUUAGUGCUCAUUUGAAAGCACUUGUACCUCCCUGCCUGCUGCACAGGGCCAUCAGGAGGGGACAGCUGUAUCAGGCCUGGUCCCUUUUAAGCUUUAAUGGGGGGCAAUCUGUGCUGCACUUCUUGGAUUAACUGGGCCUCCCUUGAGUUGCCGAAUAACAACUGAAAGUGGCUGCAUGGAGCCAAAAGCCGACAAAUGAAGCCAAAGCCACUGCUAAGGAAUGAGCGGUGAUAUCAUAUCCUAUUUCUGAAUAAUUUCUGAGAAAUCUUUAAAAAUCUGUGUAUCAUGCCCUUUGCCUGAUAAAGGAAAAGUAGUGGUCCAAUCCAUUACUGCUGGGGUUUUGAUAAUUAUAUAUUUCACCUGAUAUUACUGAGCACGUGUUGUGUUUAUAUAAGAAACAAAAAAUGAAUGGAGCAAAUGGUAGAACAUUUUUAUUUAGUUGAUGUUUCAGUCACUCAGUGGAAGACAGAUAUUGCAUAUUCAAAUACAUCCAGUACAAUUAAAAGGAGCUUCCAUCUUAAUAUUCGGAAAGGCUUUUUUACAGAUAGAGCUGUGAAGUUGUGGAGUUCUCUCCCUGAAUCAGUUGUACUGGCUGAUACAUUUGAUAGCUUCAAGAAGGGCUUGAAUGGCUUUUAAAGCAAGUGAGAAAAAAAUUUAUGGAACAAGCUUAGAGGAAAGUUGUUUCAGGGAUUGGUGUUUUUACUAAAAACUUCUGCCUGGCCCUUGCGGCAUCUGUAACAUGCAAAUAAAGUGUCUGGAUGGAGGAUACCUAUGUGCUUACCUAUCGUGUCCCAUAUGAAUUCAGUGGUGAUGUGCGACAGGGUACAAUCCUGCAAAAUGUAGUAUGUAUGGAUGCUAAUUAUCUAUUGUAAAACCACUGUAACACAAAUCUAAGGAACUAUACUGUCCGUGACAUAUAUUGCCUGUCUGUUCCCUAAUAAAUAGAUGAAUACAAAAAAAGAUAUGGUGUCUGUUUUCAACUUGAGCUACAAAUGGUUGUCCACUGUAAAAACAAAAAUUGUAUUGCCACUCCCCAUAGAUACCCCCAACUGAUGGGCACCUCCUAACAUUCUAAGCCCAGAGACACAGUAGGAUCCAGGGGUAGCCUAGACAACUACCAAGAACUGUUAACUUUAAAAACAACACUUCUAUUGGAGCUCCACAUUGAUAUUCACUUCUCAGUGUCUCUUAUAAUUCAGUGAUGGGCACCUCCUAACGGUCCCAGCCCAGAAGCACAGUUGGAUCCAGUGUAGCCAAUCACAGCUCUGCUGGAUAUGGGUAGCCAAUCACAGCUCAUUUGCCUUCACACAGAAAAAGAUAUAUUGCAGUUCCCUGUCAGGUCAACCUAAAGGCUGACUGCUGUACUGUAAGCCUUGUGUUCUCCUCUGCAGCCAGGGAAAAGCAGCAGCCAGCAGAGGGUGGAGAUGCUGGUUAGCUGGAUCUAGUGAGGUGUUGGGGGAAAUUUUCAUCAAAGCAGUUCAAAAUGCAACUUGUAAAGGCACGUUACUUGAAAAAUCCUCACUAAAAUUAGGGUUACUUUACUUCUACAUACAUAUUUAUUUUGUCCCAUCAGCUUAAGUUUUUGGGUUUGCCACAAGGGUAUAAAAAUCUUGAUUCAGGAGCCAUUGCAAUACAGUAGAAGAUGAUACUGUAACUAUAGAGAUGCUAUGAGAUAUGCAAAGAAAUAAAUAAGUGUUAGUAUCCACUGAUCACCCUUCCUUUGCUUAAUUUGUCUCUUAGCAUGUAUCUAUGUUAUCUAAUAUAUUUUCCACAUACUGUAUAGUAGGGUACACAUUUGCCAUAUUAAAUGCCAGUGGGUAUCAAUAGUUGCAUUAAGCUAGAAAGGAGAGCUUGCCGUCCCUAGUGUCCUGGCAUUUUUGUAUAAUUAGUAUUAUAGUGUACAGCAGUAUGAACAGCCGUAUCAAAUAGUAUAUUGUUUAACCAAACAUUCAACAGUGAUACUCACCUACUACAGCCAACUUGGACUGGCCCCCCAGGUCACCAGUAACACUCCUGCUGGGCUACAGCCACAACCAUGUAGCUUUCUAUACCUACCAUAUCAUUCCUACCCCAACAUGGCCAUUCCACA